GGGGUGCAGGCUCAGCUUUAUCACUUUCUAGCUAGAAGUUAAACCUUGUGCUUAAUUUUCAGAGCUUCAGUUUUCCCAUACAUACUAUGGGAAUUUUACCUCUUGGUUAUUUUUUGGAAUGGUAAAGUUCUUAUCAAGGUAUCCGGCAUGUUGAAAUUUCUCAAUAAAUGGAAACGACCCAGACAUAUCACUGAGGGAUGUGGCAUCACAGAAAUAUCACUGAGGCCAAGGAAAAAAGGAACCUCUGAGGUGGGCAGAGCAGGUACGAUGGCCACCACUAGGCAGAGGAGGGAAGUCAGAAUCCAGGAAGGUGAUGUGACUACCUCAGAAUCACCCCACAAAAUAAGGAAGAGCGGGGCAGGCUGGAAGUGCCAGAGAGCUAGUGACCCCAGAAGCAGCCCUCAAUUGAUGACUGAUGAGAGUUUGUGGAUAAAUACCCAGCUUCCUCACUCCUGAGACGGGUCAACUCUGAGACGUGUUCUUUUCGUCGGGCCCCAACAAGCUUGAGUCCCAGUUGCCUACAGAGGACCUCUCGGCUUCUCUAAAGUGCUAAUGUGUACUGUGAAUUUCAAGACAAGCUUUGCUGCAGCGUUUCCUUUAUUUAUUUGGCCAUGGAGACUGAGGCAAUGGUGCCCCUUUGCACAAGGAAGUGUGCGGAAUCAGUGAGCCUGAGAACAACACACUUUACGGUCACUUAUUCUACUCCUCCAUCCUGACUCCCCAUGGCAGGAGAAGCUCUGUGGCUGAGACCUGGCAUAUUAAAAUUUUUAUUUGGUGACAAUUCUAUAGGCUUACAGCCUCAUGUUGCUGAAAAAGUGGUGUGAAUGCAAUAGCACUCCCUCCACAGACAUCCACAUCCUUCCUUGGCAAAAAUGGUGUGUACAGAUUCAAGCUUCUGUUCUAAAAGAA
rnacentral:lncRNA from 1 species